rnacentral:rRNA from 1 species
AUGAAGCGACGAAACUGGGCUGGCAAUCCCCGUUGCUCUUUUUGUGACUGUAGAGAAACCUAUUUGCACCUGUUCUUCCUCUGUCCUGUGGCAAGGAUAGCCUGGCGCACGGUAGGAGCGCUGCUUGGGACUGAUUUAUGUCCCAACAAUCUAUGCCAGUUUUAUUCUUGGUGCUAUGCCUUUCUUCCUCAAGGGGAGCGAUACUUUACAAUGGGGCUAGCAGCCGUAUGCUGGGCUAUUUGGAAUCGUAAAAACCAGGCUACUUUUGAAUUCAAGAAACUGUCAUCUUCUUUUGAGAUUGUCUUCACUGCUUGUAUGCAUUUAUCUUACUGGGCAGGACUCUUGAAGGGCGAAAGGCGAACGGAGCUGGAGCGUCGUGCAAUGAUUCUGCAGGAGAAUCCUAAAGAAAUGAUGAGGCUCUGCGCGACUGCAUACGUUGGCGACACUGUGGAGUGA